rfam:Trichobilharzia regenti genome assembly, scaffold: TRE_scaffold0011758
GUACUGAUGGUGAGUCCAAAACUAGGACGAAACAGCUGUCUAGUAC